ACAUCAUCCUCACCUGCUGGUCCAUGAGCAAGUCCACUACCUGGAGGCCUGGGCUGGUUGGGAUCCAGCUGUUCUGAGCCCUCUACUGUGUGAUAAACCACAUCAGACCAGGU